CCUACGGGAGGCAGCAGUGAGGAAUAUUGGUCAAUGGGCGGAAGCCUGAACCAGCCAAGUCGCGUGAGGGAAGAAGGCCCUGCGGGUCGUAAACUUCUUUUGUCGGGGAACAAAGGGCGCCACGUGUGGCGUUGUGAGUGUACCCGAAGAAAAAGCAUCGGCUAACUCCGUGCCAGCAGCCGCGGUAAUACGGAGGAUGCGAGCGUUAUCCGGAUUUAUUGGGUUUAAAGGGUGCGUAGGCGGUCCGGAAAGUCAGCGGUAAAAGCCCGGGGCUCAACCCCGGCGAG
rnacentral:rRNA from 1 species